rnacentral:lncRNA from 1 species
GGUUUUUUUCUUGAAAUCCAUUACUUACUUUACUGUAGGAAUAAUAUUUGGCUGGGGUUUUAAUAACCGUAAACGAUACCACAUACACCUUCCAUAUACUUUUCUGAUAUUCUUUAAUCGAAUUUGCUCUGUCAAGAAAGAAAAAUAAGAUGAAUUAAAAACCAUUUUUCACAAGUGAAGGUAAAACCAGCUAACUGGUUAACUAACCUUCAUUACCACGCUAAUAGUUUAAUGGAACAUGAAAUUACUGCCUAUUCAAAUAGCCUUUAAAAAACUUACAAGAUAGGUUAAAUUGUCUGCCAUUUAGAACAAACAACCUAUCUAGAAAAUUUCAUUCAACUACCAAGUGACCAUUUUGGAAAUGAGACUUAAUGAAAACACAAAAACUGACUUGCACCCAAAAUAUUUAGUCAGAUAUAAUCAGUAAUUUCUGGGAAAUUCUCUCCCUCUUUCCCCUCUGCUAUAGAAGGAACAAGAAGUAUAAAAUAGUUAAAACAUGGUUUAUUAAGGAAGCUAAGCAGAAAUAAUACUCUUCAAACACAAAAAUAAAUGCCUAUCAAAAUGUCUUCUAAUCAACAAAGUUUAGAUCUCAUCUAUUUAAGAUAUAAAACUAGUAAGAUUUAGAGCUGUAACAUAAAAUCAACUUGCAGUUAAAACAAAGGUAGAGUGCUUGCUUCAGCAGCACAUACACUAAAACCGGAGCAGGACAUACGCUAAAACCGGAGCAAUACAGAGAAGAUUAGCAUGGCCCUCACCCAAAGAUGACACGCAAAUUUGCAAAGUAUUCUUUUUUUUUUUUUUUUUUUUUUUUGUAGAAACUGGGUCUUGCUAUGUUGCCAAGGCUGGUCUCAAACUCCUGGCCUCAAGCACUCCUCCUGCCUCAGAGCACCCCCGUCCCCAAAAAAAGCACCAUUUAAAAUUUUUAUUUUAAAAAAAAAAGGGGGCCGGGCGCGGUGGCUCACGCCUGUAAUCCCGGCACUUUGGGAGGCUGAGGCGGGCAGAUCACCUGAGGUCAGGAGUUCGAGACCAGCCUCAACAUGGAGAAACCCUGUCUCUACCAAAAAUACAAAAUUAGCCAGGCGUGGUGGUGCAUGCCUGUAAUCCCAGCUACUUGGGAGGCUGAGGCAGGAGAACUGCUUGAACCUGGGAGGUGGAGGUUGCAGUGAGCCGAGAUCAUGCCAUUGCACUCCAGCCUAGGCAACAAGAGUGAAACUCUGUCUCAAACAAACAAAAAAAAAAAGUAGAGUAAAAUUCAGUAUCAUAAAUUCUAAUUAUUUUGUGUUAAGCUGGAAAAGUCUCCUAAACCCGUAAAACUUAGGUUUAUGGGGUCAGGCACCGUGGCUCACCUC